CCCUUAGAUGUUCUGGGCGGCCCGCGCACUACAUUGGCACUAGCAAAGAGAUCCUAGAUUGAAUUCUUUGGGGUAUUCUUCUAAAUGGUGUCGUGACUGGGAUAAAUCCUUGUAAUUAUUGGUUUUGAACGAGGAAUUCCUUGUAAUCGCGGUUUAUCAGCUCGCGUUGAAUGCGUCCCUGCCCUUUGUACACACCGCCCGUCGCUCCUACCGAUGGAUCGUCCGGUGAAGCUCACGGAGUGGCUGUUCACGCAACGGUUUACGAAGUGAAAUGGACCUCACGAUUUAGAGGAAGGAGAAGUCGUAACA
rnacentral:rRNA from 1 species